UACGAAGGGGGCGAGCGUUGUUCGGAAUUACUGGGCGUAAAGGGCGCGCAGGCGGCUCUGAAAGUCAGAUAUGAAAGCCCCGGGCUUAACCUGGGAAUUGCAUUUGAUACUCUGGAGCUUGAGUACGGGAGAGGAGAGUGGAAUUCCCAGUGUAGAGGUGAAAUUCGUAGAUAUUGGGAAGAACACCGAUGGCGAAGGCAGCCAUCUGGACCGACACUGACGCUGAGGCGCGAAAGCGUGGGGAGCAAACAGG
rnacentral:rRNA from 1 species